UAGCUACUCCCUCCGUUCCAAAUUACUUGUCGCAGAAAUGGAUGUAUCUAAAACUAAAAUACAUCUAGAUACAUCCAUUUCUGCGACGAGUAAUUCGGAACGGAGGGAGUAGUUG
rnacentral:pre_miRNA from 1 species